GUUCUUCUGGCGGCGGUGGAAUCCGUGAAUUUGUCGUCCUUUCUAUCGUCGUGACUGUGGCUCGGUUGUUUUGCUUCUUCGCACCCAAAGUGCCAUGAAUCUUUUCAAAGACUGUCACACUGGCCUCCCCGGGUGAAACGGUACCGCCCGUCCUGUGGCGCUCCCGUCGAAAAGCCGAUAUCCACAAACUUUGGAGACCGAAUGACGC